rnacentral:tRNA from 1 species
GUCGCUUUGCUCAGAAGUUAGAGCUUAGGCCUUGUGACUGGAAUGUCCCGGGUUCGAAUCUCGCCAGCGGCA